AAAUAGAACUUUGCAGAGAGAGUUAACAGGGCGUGAAACCGUUGGUUGGCAAACGAAUCGGAGCCACGAAGUCGUUUCGUUGAGUUGGAUCAAGUUCAGCCAAGCAGAGAUGUUUGGUGUAUUCUUGGUUUCAACCUCUUUGUAAACGUACACUGCAACCAGUUAGACGAUUGGCGAUGGGCCCAGUUGCUCAAGUUAGUAGUAACGAGGUAAAUUUCGGUUUAUUCUUGUUGCUGGGCUUGUGGCAAGUGAACUAUCACCAAAUACUGACUGGCAAAAUGAAAAUCGCUUUCAAUAGCGUAAUAUAAAAUGCACCUCUCGCAUAAAUGUCUACACACUUGACCAUAAGGUUUAAGCUCAGCAUCUUUGAAUUUAGACUUGCUCGCUACCAAUGGGGCAACUCUUGGUGCUUGUAUAGUUUCUAUCUAAUCGGGUGUUGACUUGAUUUUAUGUCGUUUAAGUGUGAAUCGUUUGGAUAUAUAUGUGAGGAUUGGUUUGCAAUUGAUUGGCAGUGAGUAGGUCGGCUUUCCGAACGACCCGUCUUGAAACACGGACCAAGGAGUCUAAUUAGGUAUCGAGUCGAUCGGUCUUGAAUAGGCCAGACGGUGGGGCUUCCUGCGAUUGAAGGCGUAGAGACAUGUGAUCCUGUGGACAAUACCAGUCCUAUGGCGCAACAUGUGCCUGUUCGUAUAGUAAUGUAGCAAUAAUACUGAGCGGAGCAAAGAGAUACCUGAUUGGUACCCGAAAGAUGGUGAUGCUUGGGCAAAUUGAAGCCAGAGGAAACUCUGGUGGAGGAUUGUAGCGAUUCUGACGUGCAAAUCGAUCGUCAGACCUGAGUAUAGGGGCGAAAGACUAAUCGAACCAUC
rnacentral:rRNA from 1 species